UGUCGGCCUGGCCGGGCAGCGGCGCAAGCGCCUCGCCGGUGUCGGCGCAGCGUCCCAGCCAGCGGCUGCCGUGUUCGCGCCACGGGCCGGUGG
rnacentral:tRNA from 1 species